rnacentral:misc_RNA from 1 species
GAUGAAGAACGCAGCGAAAUGCGAUAAGUAGUGUGAAUUGCAGAAUUCAGUGAAUCAUCGAAUCUUUGAACGCACAUUGCGCCCCUUGGUAUUCCAUGGGGCAUGCCUGUUCGAGCGUCAUUAAAAUCACUCAAGCUUAGGUUUACCUAUUGCUUGGUCUUGGAGAUGGAAGCCAAUUUAUUGGAAUCCUCUUCGAAAUUCAAUGGCGAAGACCCUUGCUCUCCCAAGUGUAGUAAUAACUUAUGUCACUGAAGGAAGCGAGAAAUCUUCUGCCGUAACCCCCAUAUUUUCUAUGAUUGACCUCGGAUCAGGUAGGGAUACCCGCUGAACUUAAGCAUAUCAAUAAGCGGAGGA